rnacentral:rRNA from 1 species
GUAAGGAAUAUUGGUCAAUGGGCGGAAGCCUGAACCAGCCAUGCCGCGUGCAGGACGACGGCCCUACGGGUUGUAAACUGCUUUUGCCCGGGAAUAACCCCCCGCUCUUGAGCGGGGCUGAACGUACCGGGAGAAUAAGGAUCGGCUAACUCCGUGCCAGCAGCCGCGGUAAUACGGAGGAUCCGAGCGUUAUCCGGAUUUAUUGGGUUUAAAGGGUGCGUAGGCGGCCUGUUAAGUCAGGGGUGAAAUACGGCAGCUCAACUGUCGCAGUGCCCUUGAUACUGACGGGCUUGAAUACCGGUGAAGGCGGCGGAAUGAGACAAGUAGCGGUGAAAUGCAUAGAUAUGUCUCAGAACCCCGAUUGCGAAGGCAGCUGCCUAACCGGCGAUUGACGCUGAUGCACGAAAGCGUGGGGAUCGAACAGGAUUAGAUACCCUUGUAGUCC